rnacentral:lncRNA from 1 species
GCAUGUUUAGAGUAGCAAUUGAAGCUUAGGAUCUUCUAUGCCCGGUGAUACUUCAUGCAGUAAACUAAAAUCUGAACUUGACUUUCUGGAUCCACUAAACCUGCUGAAAGACAUUGACGUAGAUGGAUCUGCACAUAUCUUGCCUCAUGAGAAUAUCGGACAUUUAAUUGCUAGCUCCAUCAGGUUCUAAUUUAAUGCAAAUUCUGAAACUGAAUUUUACAUUUAGUUGUCGGAUAAUUCAAGGUCAACAUAUGAAUUUGUAGGUUCAGAACUGCUCUCUUCAUUUCUUUGUAACUACUUGAUACAUUUUUCUACUUUAUGGCUUUAUCUGGACUGGACUUCAAGGCUGUGCUUUCAAGUGGUAUCUGAUUUAUCUUUUUGCUGUGACAUAAUUUUUUAUAAUGCAGACCCCAGGUUCGCCUGUAGCAGGGGGAAGUUCUGGAGGCAGAAAAGCUAGUAAGCGGAUCGUACUUGUCUGCCAUGGAGUGUCAGAGAGUGACCUAGAGGUAUGCAGUAAGCAAUGGACCAAUCAUUCUAUAUUCCCAAUGAACAGACAUAUUAGGCUUCUUGAUUUCAAAUUUAUGAUAUAACAAGGUGGUCUAUGACCCUGAAAUAGUGGUUUCUUGGAGAAAAAGUUUAUGUGAGAACAGAGUUGAAAGCAUGGAUCUUCUCUGAAAAGAGCCCUUUUGAUCCUUAUGGAAGUAUGAUUGUCCAAACCGCUUGCAAUAAUUUCUGGUCGAAGACUAGUUUGAGUGACAGAUACAUAUAAUCAAAGAAAAAAAAGAAUUGAGUGACACAUACAUUCGGUGCUAGGAUUUUGGUCUUCAGCUAAUAGAAGAACCUAUCUAUCUAUUUUAUCACUCUCUCAUGAGAUCAUUCUCGAAUGUACCACACUUAUAGACAGAACCAAUGGAUGAACAGGUGAAUUAAUAGGAAGAAAGGCUAUAUAUGAACCAUUCCAGUGACUCUAACUUGAGAUCAUAUUCCUUUUCUAGAGGUGGAGAAUGUACUUGCCAAGUUUGAAAAUGCUAAAGACAAUUUCUUCCACCUUUGCAAUGGCUUGAGCAAUUUCUGUUCACAAUUUUUGGCUCAAAAUGCUUGACUUUAGAUUUCUCUCUUAUUCCCUCAAAUCAAACAGCUUCCACUUUUUAACUUCUUGAAACUUAGUUAUCUUAAAAGUACUUCCAGGAUUACAAAUGACUUUACUUUUUAGCUUAUGAUAAGACUUUACAUCAGCAGAUCAUAUUUCUGCUUGAGGACUCCAAAAUAUGUUUAAACGAAAUUCUAUCUUAACCGAUUUAACAGAUUAGUUUUGAACCUUGACAUAAACAAACAGAAGGGAUAUAGGAUGUCAGAGGUCACUUUGCACAGAUUAAGUAAAAGAAAAAGGAAAAAAACAGCCUUGUGUUAAUUGGAUGAUCUUGAUGUGGGCAAUACUGCUUUUAGAUUAUUACCCUCAGUGACAUAGGAAAUUGAGAACGGGGCUUAAGCACCCUAUGAAUGUUUCUUACCUGGCAAACAUUGCUUUGCACUCGUAGAUUAGGUAUGGUGUUGGGGGAGUACUCAGGGUUGUUUGUCAUCUACUAUAUAAAUUCUGAUUUGUCCUUUCCUUAACUUUCAGGUUUUUAGCCCCAAUUUCUUUUAGCAUGUUGGCA